AACGAACGCUGGCGGCAUGCCUAACACAUGCAAGUCGAACGAGACCUUCGGGUCUAGUGGCGCACGGGUGCGUAACGCGUGGGAACCUGCCCUUAGGUUCGGAAUAACUCCCCGAAAGGGGUGCUAAUACCGGAUAAUGUCUUCGGACCAAAGAUUUAUCGCCUUUGGAUGGGCCCGCGUUGGAUUAGCUAGUUGGUAGGGUAAAGGCCUACCAAGGCGACGAUCCAUAGCUGGUCUGAGAGGAUGAUCAGCCACACUGGGACUGAGACACGGCUCAGACUCCUACGGGAGGCAGCAGUGGGGAAUAUUGGACAAUGGGCGAAAGCCUGAUCCAGCAAUGCCGCGUGAGUGAUGAAGGCCUUAGGGUUGUAAAGCUCUUUUACCCGGGAUGAUAAUGACAGUACCGGGAGAAUAAGCUCCGGCUAACUCCGUG
rnacentral:rRNA from 1 species